AAAAUCAGACAUUUGAGAUAUUGGAAUAUUGGAAGAAUAAUGCAACAAAGUAUAGAGUGUUAUCUCAAAUAGCAAAGGAUGUGUUGGCCAUGCCCAUUUUUACCGUUGCUUCGGAGUCAGCUUUCAGUACCGGGGGACGUAUCCUUGAUCCAUUCCGUAGUUCACUUGCCCCUUCCAUGGUUGAAGCUCUUGUAUGCACACAAAAUUGGCUUAAAAGCAACCUUCCAAUUUCUCUUCGACAAGCAAUGGAUGAUGUGGAGGAAUUUGAGCAAUACGACUCGGGUACUUUGGAGCCAUGUUCCUCUUCAACCCCAAAGUCUAAUGUAGAUGCUAUAAUUGAACUUUAAUGUUCAUUUGGCUCAUAUUGUUGGAUGAGAUUGGACAUUGGAAGAUGGACCUAAAGAGUUUAGUGAAGCCUUGGAUGGAUACCACCUUUUCAAAUUAUUUUGGAUGGAGUUUGUAGACAAUGUUAUUUUAGUUU